rnacentral:rRNA from 1 species
AGGACGAACGCUGGCGGCGUGCUUAACACAUGCAAGUCGAGCGGAAAGGCCCUUCGGGGUACUCGAGCGGCGAACGGGUGAGUAACACGUGAGUAAUCUGCCCCUAGCUCUGGGAUAGCUCCGGGAAACCGGGAUUAAUACCAGAUACGACCACUUUAGACAUCUGCUGUGGUGGAAAGAAUUUCGGCUAGGGAUGAGCUCGCGGCCUAUCAGCUUGUUGGUGAGGUAACGGCUCACCAAGGCGACGACGGGUAGCCGGCCUGAGAGGGCGACCGGCCACACUGGGACUGAGACACGGCCCAGACUCCUACGGGAGGCAGCAGUGGGGAAUAUUGCGCAAUGGGCGAAAGCCUGACGCAGCGACGCCGCGUGGGGGAUGAAGGCCUUCGGGUUGUAAACCCCUUUCAGCAGGGACGAAGCGAAAGUGACGGUACCUGCAGAAGAAGCGCCGGCUAACUACGUGCCAGCAGCCGC